rnacentral:rRNA from 1 species
CACGUAGGGGGCAAGCGUUGUCCGGAUUUACUGGGCGUAAAGAGCGCGCAGGCGGUCGUUCAAGUCGAGUGUGAAAGCCCCCGGCUCAACUGGGGAGGGUCACUCGAUACUGAUCGACUUGAAGGCAGGAGAGGGAAGCGGAAUUCCCGGUGUAGUGGUGAAAUGCGUAGAUAUCGGGAGGAACACCAGUGGCGAAGGCGGCUUCCUGGCCUGUUCUUGACGCUGAGGCGCGAAAGCUAGGGGAGCAAACGGG